CAAAUCGUUGAGCAUUUUUCAGUGAAAAAUCACCAGAACGAAAUUUGGCAAACCAAUUUUGACACUGCCUUUCUUUCAAGACUUCAUUCCCAUAUACGGCACAUAACUUCAUGUGUGCUUGCGAUGCGUUCUUGCCUUUUCGGAAAUAAUACAAUAAAACAUGUCUUAAAUGCGCGUCUUCCACUUUUAAAUUCAGAUAAAAACGAAACUAUAUAACUAAUUGAUAUAAUUUUUACUAAAUUAAAGGCAGAACUCCACACAACAAGAAAGCAGUAUAGGUUAGGUGCUUUGAAUACGUUGUCAAAACAAAAGAAUGUGCUAAGACCACCUAUUGACAAAAUCCGGAAUCACUUAGUUGCCAACCCAAUAAUUUUAGAUAACUAGUAUAAUUCAGAGGAAUAUCAACUUUUUACUUGAAACGUUAACCUCGUUCCGAUUAUGUGAUCGAAAAUUGUAGACAAAGGGAAGCAAUGCACGAUCCGGAUGUCUCCAGGAAUUCUUCUUAAGAAAGGGUCGCAGUGUCGGUCGAUUUCGCAGUGGAGCCAAAAGGGCGAUCCAGCAACGCAGUAACGAACUGUCUCUCGGCGGCGAGCAUGCGGCAAUUAAUCAAGCCGCAAUAAAUUAAUUGCCGCUCAGGCAGGAAUUAAUUACCACCCCGGCAAUAAUUAUGGCUAACGCAGAAAUAAUUAUCGUGCGCCACGGCAACGCGUUGAUCCCUCUGCACGACGAUAAUCCGCUGGUAAUUCGAUACCAGAUUAAUGCAUCUGGAAGAAAGAUCGCAACGCGAAAUAUCGCAUCGCCAGCCACCGUUUCGCGCGCAGUUUUAUCAUCCUACCGACGCAAAUGUCGUUUAUUAAGUGGAGCAACGAUUAAGUCAAAGGGCUCGUGCAUAAGAUGGUCGAAGACGUUAUUCAAAAGCAAUUCUCAAUGCGAUUCGUUUUAUGGACUAUGGUGCUUCGUUACGAAAUGAAGUUUCCUUGCACGAAGAUUGCGGUGCCGGAAGAAUUUUUGUUUGCAUUAAAAAACAUAUGGCAUGAAAUACAAAGUGGAACUGGUUCUCUAGAAACACAAAGUGGAAGUUUACUCUGUGGAAUAUGAAAAAUAAUCUUUUUUUUUAUACGUUUGGCGAUUUGGAGGACGCAACAUAAAAAGUAAAAGAAAUUGUAAGAAUUUUGCCAUAAAUGCAAAACAUGUAGUUCCUAAUUCGCAGAAAGAUAUUAAAAAGGUAUAUGUAUACAAAUGUGGCAUAUAUAAAUAUACAGGGUGGUUGGUAACUGGUGGUACAAGCGGAAAGGGGGCGAUUCUAGGCGAAAAAAGAAGUCGAAAAUAUAAAAUAACAAUUUUUCGUUCGAGGCUUUGUUUUCGAGAAAAUCGACUUUGAAUUUUCGCCCGGUACGCGUCCACUUUAUCACGUCUCGUUAUAACGGAUCUCACUGUAGAUUUUAAAAAAAAUUAAAAAAAAAAUUAAAAACAAAAUUUAUAUUCUAUAUUUUCGACUUCUUUUUUCGCGUAGAAUCAGCCCCUUUCCGCUUGUACCACCAGUUACCAACCAUCCUGUAUAUUUUUUUUUUAAGCUUAAGUUUAUUGAAUCCAAGGAUACAGUUUUAGGUACAUAUUCACAAUAAACGGUGAAUAACCAUCCUGUAUAUAAUAUGUCGCUUAUGAUUUUGAUAAUAAUAUCUUUCAUCUUUGCAUGUACAGAGCCUGAGAGUCUACUAGUUUCAAAUGGUUUGAAAACUAAUAUUUAUUACACAGAUAUGUAGAUACAUAUAAUGAAGGGUAUAGAAUAUUUUCAGCAUUAACAGGCUUGCAGGUUAUGGAGUGAAACGUAGCCGAGGAAAUUUUUAUCAACAACGUGCACAUUAUAAAUUUUAAAGUUACGUUAGAAAUUUUUUUACGAGCUACAGGGAUGAGAGAGAGGAAUAUCAUGAAAAUGCAUUCCUAGGAAUGGUUCAGUAUUUCAAUCCAAUGCGGUAUCUCGCCGCGAAUUCAAGCGUGUACUUCUGGACGUGCAACUUCCGGUUGGAGAAACGCAUCGUUGCACGAGGGCACAGCAGCGGCGAAAGAGGGUGCCAGCGGAUUUUAUCAAAAUGAAAUCUCCCAGGAUAAUAAAUACUCGGUUAUCGGGUUUAAUCGAGUUAUCAUGCGAUGUGGAAACGACGAGGUAGCUUCGUUGGCUAGGAUCCAUGAAAAUAGGGUGUCUUUGAUAAAACUGGAAGAAUAUCUAUCGUUUUUGUAUCAAAUUAUACUUAUAACAUUAAGAGAAGAUUUGGCUGCAAAGUUAAUUUAAAUUUGAUUCUUAUAUUAAUCUACACUCUUUGAAUGAAAGAUUUCAAAGUAAUCUAAACUAUUCUUAAUUUUUCACAGGCUGAACAUUGUUCUAGAAAUAAUUUCUGGAAUCGAAAAUCUAGAUACUUACUUAUAAUAUAUACUUUAUUCUUUAAAAAGAUGAAACUGCAAAAAUUUGGAAACCGCAACUGCAUUCAAAUAUAAGAUGGAUCUAUUUACAAUGGAUUAACCAUUAACACUGCGACUUUUAAUUGUCAAUAUCGAGGAGCAAUUUCAACUUGUUCUCAUCGUACUUUGGCUU